rnacentral:rRNA from 1 species
UACAGAGGUCUCAAGCGUUGUUCGGAUUCAUUGGGCGUAAAGGGUGCGUAGGCGGCGCGGUAAGUCGGGUGUGAAAUCUUGGAGCUUAACUCCGAAACUGCAUUCGACACUGCCGUGCUUGAGGACUGGAGAGGAGACUGGAAUUUACGGUGUAGCGGUGAAAUGCGUAGAUAUCGUAAGGAAGACCAGUGGCGAAGGCGGGUCUCUGGACAGUUCCUGACGCUGAGGCACGAAGGUCAGGGGGAGCAAACGGG